rnacentral:rRNA from 1 species
UACGAAGGGGGCUAGCGUUGCUCGGAAUCACUGGGCGUAAAGCGCACGUAGGCGGAUUGCUAAGUCAGGGGUGAAAUCCUGGAGCUCAACUCCAGAACUGCCUUUGAUACUGGCGACCUUGAGUCCGGGAGAGGUGAAGUGGAACUGCGAGUGUAGAGGUGAAAUUCGUAGAUAUUCGCAAGAACACCAGUGGCGAAGGCGGCUCACUGGCCCGGUACUGACGCUGAGGUGCGAAAGCGUGGGGAGCAAACAGGG